AAAACUUUUUCGAAAGAAAAAAAUCUGUUCUUAUCAGUUUAAUAUCUGAUACGUCCCCCAUCCGGGGACUACAUAUUAAAUGGAUUUUUAGAUCACGGAGCUGGAGCCGGGGCUUGCUCCGUCCACUCCAUGCAUCGGCCUGGUAUUGCAGUGUCUCCAGGAACGGUGUGCUUUCC
ensembl:snRNA U2 U2 spliceosomal RNA